rnacentral:misc_RNA from 1 species
GCCAUGACCAGAAGGAUGAGUUUCUCCAAUCUCAUUUCAUACCAUGUGCUGCCUUGCCUAUUAUUGUUGGUGCUGGGAAGUUCCGGGGCAGUCUCAGAAAGCGAACAACUCCAGACCUAUAUCAUUCACAUGGACCAUUCCCACAAGCCUGCUUCCUUCUUAACCCAUGAAUCCUGGCACCGUCACACCCUAAAGUCAUUGUCUCAUCCUGUUGAUGAGAAAGAAAUGCUUUUGUACUCAUACAACCAUGUUGUCCAUGGCUUCAG